ACUUGGUGGGGGACCUGAAGCUGGGCUGGGCAGCUUUUCAGGAUCAGUAGUCCAGUAGUAGGAUCAAGUGUGCCCAUCAGUGACCACGAGAAGGAACUCUGAAUGUAGGAGGAGAUCCAAGGCCCAGAGGAAAUGAGUGGCAUAGAAUUAUUAUUAUUAUUAUUAUUAUUAUUAGUGUCACCCAUCACUAGUGCAUGUGGCUUGGCUCACUAGCUUGACUUGUCCACAGAAAGCUUGGCCUCAGCUGUGAUCCCCAGAUUAUAUUUUCUGUUGUGGAUGCCUAUGCCAGGAGAAUACCAAGUCCUUCUUCCAUCGCAGGGUCGUGGUUUGGGAAAGGCUCUGGCCAAGCAGCAGCCCAGUGGUGUCAGGGGCAAACCCAGAAUUUGCAGGUAUGCUGUGACCUUCAGUGGCAGGGGAAGGGUUUCCCAGUGAUCUUCCCAGCUGGAGGAGGAAGGCCUGGUUUAGAUAUUCCUAUAGUUUUACGGGAAGAGUUUCUCCGCGGUCCACCUGGGCAGGACAAGGGGCAUGAUUCUCUCCCAUGCCAACACCACAUCCCAAGGGUGGGCUGGGGCAGUUUUAGGAUGGCACGACCGGUGUGCUCACACUGGGCACCACGCUGCAGAGGGGGCCAAAACAAUGCUGAAGAACAAGAGGGAGGGGUGCCAAAUUUUAGGGUCAUGCGGGGCACCGUUGACAUUUGAGAGCCCAAAGUUUGCCCUUGGUUGGACGCAGUUCCAGAUUAAAACCUGUGGAGGCCCUGAGGCAGUAAAAAUAUUGCUGGGCUCCUCGCAAAUUAUCUCCUGAUACGUUUUUGAUUUUACCAAUCAAAAAUAGUAAUAAACCAAUUUUAUUACACAAUACUAACAGUAUUUAUUUUGAUCCAUUGGGUAAUAUGGCUCUGCUUGGGAAUGCUUCUGCCAAUAUGAAUCCCAGAAUUCUUCCCCCACAUCCUUCCUUCUUUCAGACAGAAACGGACAUGGUGUGUGGAACUGGACCAGGGGAAGAAGUGACUUUCCCAUUGCUGGGGAUGGGGACUGCCAUUUCCUCAUGCCAGCAAUGGGACAGCCACUUCUCUUCUCCCUGGUUAUUGCCUUGGGGAAACAGGUCCCCCCCAGGAGCUGUCUCCAUGGCUAUGGUUUCAGACCUGCAGGAAUCAAGGCCAGCCUACUAGUCCAAACCUAAAUAUUUUGGGAAAUAGAUAGUUUUCCAUGUUUGGACUUCAAAUUAUGCAUAUUGCUGUCCCGGACCACCUAGAUCUCAAACUAGGGCACUUUCUUUCUUGCAGCCUUCUUCUUCUUCUUCCUUAGAAAUGUUGCCCCCAAAAUACUAACAUCAGAGUUAGGUUGAGAAAUCUUAUGAAAUCUCACAUGUUGACCAAAAUGGAAUGCAUUUGAGGUUCUUUCCUUGCCUUCUUAGCCCAUAUUUUUCUCUAAUUUCUGCAUCCCAUGAAAACAUCCUUCCUGAGAUACCAGGCAGCACCAACCGGUGGUCUCACUUACCACAAUGAACCUUAGAAUAAAAUAAAGGUAAAGGUACCCCUGACUUAGGUCCAGUCACGGACGACUCUGGGGUUGCGCGCUCAUCUCGCUCUAUAGGCUGAGGCAGCCAGCAUUUGUCCGCAGACAGCUUUCAGGUCAUGUGGCCAGCAUGACUAAGCCGCUUCUGGUGAACCAGAGCAGUGCACAGAAACACCGUUUACCUUCCCGCCGGAGUACUACCUAUUUAUCUACUUGCACUUUGAUGUGCUUUCGAACUGCUAGGUGGGCAGGAGCUGGGACCAAGCAACAGGAGCUCACCCUGUUGUGGGGAUUUGAACCACUGAUCUUCUGAUCGGCAAGCCCUAGGCUCUGUGGUUUAGACCACAUCACCACCCUCUCCCUAGAAUAAAAUAGAUACAUAUAAUUAUCUAUAUAUUUAUCUGGAACUCCUCCAACCAAUCCAACUAACUGAGCUUGUAUCAGGGGUGGUCCCAGAGUCCUGCUGACAUAAGCCAGGAUCUUCUGGGUUCCCCAGCUUUUCCCAUAUGUAACCUCUGUGACAACACAGGGCUUCCACCACCACUGGCUAUUCCCGGUCUCAGCUUGCAUGUGGCUACAGCUCCCAGAUGGACACAGAGGACAACUUCAAGCAUUACAAAACUCAGGAGCCGCCAGUGAUUUUAUGCCCUGCGAGUUUCCCAACAGCAUGAUGUGGCAAUGCGAUCAUUGGGGAAUCCAUGGACAGUGAGAGCCCAUUCACAUGAGAGCCCAUAAUAUACCCUGCUUCGUCCACAGGGCCACACCUCCAGGGAUCAGGCUCCAGCUCCAGCUCCCAGGAUGAAGGACCAAAGGACAUCCAGGUGAUUCCUGGUUGCCAUCCAUCGCGCCUCUUCCCCACUGCCCCUUCUCCUUGCGGGCAUGGCUCCGUCUCAGCCAUCUUUGGCGCAGAAGCAGCAGCCAAAGUUUCCUUUCAUUAAGACAGCAGCUCUGCUUAUUUCCCACCUGUAAUCUCUUCCUCUGAUUUUAUUUUCCUUUCUGUCUCCUAGCUCCUCAGACAGGUAGGUCAUAGAGGCUAUUGUGGGCUUUGCAAGCAAAUGACAGAUGGCAUAGCUGUCAACGUUCCACUUUUUAAAAGGGAAAUUCCCUUAUUCUGAAUAGGAUUCCUCGCAAGAAAAGGGAAAAGUUGACAGCUAUGCAGAUGGGGAGGCCGCCAUGUUUAAGAAUGGCAUCAUAGAAAUUGUGGUAGGGGGAAGCGGGGCACAUUGAUGCAUCGGGCACAUUGAUACACCAACAAUAUUUCAAUACAGUGGUGCCCCGCAAGACGAAUGCCUCGCAAGACGGAAAACUCGCUAGACGAAAGGGUUUUCCGUUUUUUGAGCUGCUUCGCAAGACGAAUUUCCCUAUGGGCUUGCUUCGCAAGACGAAAACGUCUUGCAAGUUUGUUUCCUUUUUCUUAACACCGUUAAUACAGUUGCGACUUGACUUCGAGGAGCAACUCAUAGAACGUGGUGUGGUAGCCUUUUUUGAGGUUUUUGGUGAUUUUUGAAGCUUUUCCAAAACUUUUCCGACACCGUGCUUCGCAAGACGAAAAAUUCGCUAGACGAAAAAACUCGCGGAACGAAUUAAUUUCGUCUUGCGAGGCACCACUGUAUCGAGAAAUGUUAUUUGUGUUGCGACAUCACUAAAAAUGUGUCUAUACAUGUAUGCCUACAACAGUUGCGACCACACCGCCCGCCAGUUAGCCGUUGACAUUUGACGAGAGUAGGUUAGAACUGAAGGGUUCAGCCAGCCUGCUUAUAUAGAGCUCCACUACAACGCAACGUUACACUUUCUGUAACUAUCCAAUCACUGAACGUCACUUUCAAUCCCUUAUUUGCAUAUGUGGACCUGAGUGAAAACUAUCUACAGUAUUCCCCUGCUGGCCCAGGGUCAGAACUUCAGUACAUAACACCUUGUCCCUUUUUUCAGGUUCUACAGUCUUCCUUAUAAAUCAGUUACAUUUGUUGUGAGACAUUAGUGUUGAGUACAGUUUAAGGUUGGGGAAGAAGAGGAUUGGAGAGGAGGGGUGGUGUGGUGUGGUGAGGCUUAUAUUCUUUUGUAUAUUGUCCGUGUGGGGUUUUGUGUCUGCGUUUAUUACAUAUCCUUGGUAGUGAGAGGUAUUGGGGAGGCAGGCUGUGAUUGGUUGUCUGUGGUUGUUUGCAAUGGGGUUUGUUUGCAUUUGUGAUGGGGGGAAUUGUUGAGGCAGGUAAACCAGAUUGAUUAAUAUGCUGUCAAUGGAUUCUUCUUGUUGUCUUUUUGGGCUGUGUAUGUGAUAAAUGGGAGCCAUACUGGGGUGAAGGCGUCCUCUCCCAUUUGUCCCCAUGUCAGUUUCAGUUUAUUGCUUAGCUUUUCUAGUAUUUCUGUGCACACUCAGUAAGCAUAGCCCACUGAGACGUUCCUUUAUCUGAUACGGGGGGGGGGGGGCGGAAUAAAUAUGGGUACAAAAUGGGCUACGUACAGAGAGCUGUUAAUUGAAACAGAAAACAAAUUAAAAUGGAAAUAUUUUAACAAAAUUAGAGAGAACGUAACAGAUUGGUUACAAUAUUUUCAGUUAAAUGAAAUAUUUAAGAAUGAUAAAAAGGUAGGAUUUGCAUAUGAAAUUUCAACCUUUCAGAGAGAAAGAAUAGAAAAUGAUAAGAAAUUAAUAUCUAAAAUGUACAAUCUGUUGCUGGAAUGGGAAACAAAAGAUGAAGAGGUCAAAUCAGUUAUGAUUAAAUAGUUACAAGAUGUGGGACAUAAUAUUCAGAUGGUGGAAUGGGAAAAACUAUGGAAGAAUGAUAUAAAAUUUAUAGCAUGUGUGGUGAUUAAAGAAAAUUAUAUGAAAAUGAUGUAUAGAUGGUAUCUAACUCCAGCUAAAUUAGCAAAAUUUAUAAAACUAAGGAAAGCAAGUGUUAGAAAUGUAAAAUAACAGAGGGGACAUUUUUCCAUAUGUGGUGGAAUUGUAAAAUUAUAAAGAAAUAUUGGGAAAUGAUUUAUAAUGAAAUGAAAAAGAUGUUUAAAACAACCUUUGUUAAAAAAAACCAGAAGCUUUCUUAUUAGGAAUUAUAGGAGUGGACCUAUCAAAAUCACAAAAGAACUUGUUUAUGUAUGCAACAACGGCCACAUGGACCUUAUUAGCACAACACUGGAAAGAAGAAGGUGUCCCAUCUAAAGAAGAUUGGGAAGUUAAAUUAAUUGAAUAUGCUGAAAUGGCGAAAUUGACUAUGAAACUAAGAGGAAGAGACGACAAUGAAUUUAAGGAAGAGUGGAAGAUGUUUAUUGCAUAUUUACAGAAGCAAUGUACACAGGUUAAUACAUUAGCAGGGUUUUAAGAUUACUUGUAAUUUUGUUAUGAAUGGAUAAUAGGGAUUUAAAUAGGUUAAAAUUUAACAAUUAGACAUGCAGUAUGUUGAAUAGAACCAAGGAAGGGACUAGACUGGAAGUCAAUUUGUUUUGUUUUGUUUCUGUAUUGUUGUUGUUUUUAUUUUUGGAAAAUCAAUAAAAUGUUAUUUUU